CUUUACUCUCUUGACAAAAGAAAAACCCACUCUCUCUGACAAAAGAAAAAUCUACUUUACUCUGUCUCUUUAUAGAAUACAUGGAUGAUACUGCUUUGUUGGAUAUAGACAGCGACUCGCAGUUGCCCCUAAGAAGCACACAUACAAGUAUUAGGAACACAUAAAUUGACAAUGGGGAAGAAGAUGACGUGCCAAGAAAUGUGGAAGGAAUCAUAAAUGAGGCUACUAACGACCAUGAAGACGACAGUAGUAUCGUACGUAAUGGUAGAGCCUGUGGGUUAAACAUACCAAAUUGGGCAACAGAGAGCAUUGAGGUGGUGGAGUUUAAUGCAAGGGGUCAAGCCAUUGCCCCCAAAAAAACAGUAGCUCGAUGGCAAAGGUUUCUAGGGCUCAUGGCUGUGGACCAAGGUUUGUUUCCAAUUGAUGUACAAGAUUGGCGACGUUUUGAAUGUGGAACAACACUAGGCGAUGCAUGGAAACGAAUCAAGAGGACAAUUGAUUGGUCUGAUCCGGAAACUAAAAAGAAGGCACCCAAAAUAUGGGCCGUGGCUGAGCAGAAA